rnacentral:rRNA from 1 species
GACGAACGCUGGCGGCGUGCUUAACACAUGCAAGUCGAACGCAUCCUUCGGGGUGAGUGGCAGACGGGUGAGUAACGCGUGGGAACGUGCCCUUCAGUUCGGGAUAACCCAGGGAAACUUGGGCUAAUACCGGAUACGUGCGAGAGCAGAAAGAUUUAUCGCUGAAGGAUCGGCCCGCGUCUGAUUAGCUAGUUGGUGGGGUAAUGGCCCACCAAGGCGACGAUCAGUAGCUGGUCUGAGAGGAUGAUCAGCCACAUUGGGACUGAGACACGGCCCAGACUCCUACGGGAGGCAGCAGUGGGGAAUAUUGCACAAUGGGCGCAAGCCUGAUGCAGCAACGCCGCGUGAGGGAUGACGGCCUUCGGGUUGUAAACCUCUUUUAGUAGGGAAGAAGCGAAAGUGACGGUACCGGAAGAAGAAGCCCCGGCUAACUUCGUGCCAGCCGCCGCAGUAA